AAACAUAACCUCCUCCAACUCCGUUGGGCGGAGGUAAUGAUUGUCAAAUAAUUAUUUUUCUCGUUUUCUCUCAUUUCUUCAAAAUGGACAUGUGCAGUUUUUCCAAAUAAGCCUUUUGUAUAUAGGCUGUGGUUCCUCGACCCGUGACCGGUCGCCAAUGUUCUGUGGCUAAACGACCAGUUAACAGGAUGGACCAAUCAACAGGGAGCUUGCCUCCCCCCCACCCAGCUAGUCCUUACGGCGGUGGUGGCGCUGCUAAGUCAAUUUGUGUUUUUAUCAGAAAACUAUCAACACGUUUAUUGUUAUGCUAUUAAUUGUUGUGUACCAGUAAUAAAACUAGUUUCAACAGUACAUUUAGCGGCGGUUGUAGCGGUUGUAGCGAUUUUAGUAGCCUCCCUACUCUUCCCUCCGUGAGAUGUACGUGUCCGGUUGAGGAGCCACAGCGAUAUAUAUGUGUGUAUGUAUAUAUAUCAGUGGACAGUUACUGCAUGCUUACUCCGUUUAUAUUGUGUUAGUGUGUUGCCGACAUAUACAGUAGAAGUCCAAAAAUCCGGAUGCCAGAAAUCCGACCGACCCGAGAACCUUUCGAAAACAUGACUUCAGCCAUUAUAAUACACGCUGUUCUUUUUGUAGUGAAAAUAUUUUAUGUUUACAUUUUUGUCAAGUGUUGACCUUAUUUUCCUUUAAAACUGCUCGUUUUUAAUCAAUGAAGCCAUGCUGUAUUUGCUAAUGAGAAUAAACAAUCAAAAUUUACUUGUUCUUCUCU